AAGCCAGGCAGCACACACUCAGACAGUGUGGAGCGAGCCACACAUCAGAUGCGGCGCUUUCUUUACCUGGACACGGCGUUCACCACUGAAUUCCACCUUGACUGUGCUGCAGUGCAAACAUCUCUCUCUCCUUGAGAGUUUUUUGGCAAGUUUAACUGUUUGACUAUUAUUAUCUGUUACCAUUGGCACCCCCUAGCUUGCGGAACGGCCCAACACGGCCCCUGGUGGUGCAAGCUGGUGAGUGGUGUGUGUGUGCAUUUUCUUGUCUGACCCGGCUGGGUUGGUAAGGAGGAGGCUCCUUUUUUCGGAUGGCGCUCCACCGCGUUUAGCAUUCCACUAUAAAUAUAUACCAUCCAAGUGGUGAGUAUACU